UACGGAGGGGGCAAGCGUUGUUCGGAAUCAUUGGGCGUAAAGGGCGCGUAGGCGGCCUGCCAAGUCGGGUGUGAAAUCCCUCGGCUCAACCGAGGAACUGCACUCGAUACUGGCUGGCUCGAGUCCGGGAGGGGAUGGUGGGAUUCCCAGUGUAGCGGUGAAAUGCGUAGAUAUUGGGAAGAACACCGGUGGCGAAGGCGGCCAUCUGGACCGGUACUGACGCUGAGGCGCGAAAGCCAGGGGAGCGAAUGGG
rnacentral:rRNA from 1 species